rnacentral:rRNA from 1 species
UGGCGGACGGGUGAGUAACGCGGUACGGGUAACCGUCGUCCUACACGAGGGGAGUAACACUUAGAAAUAGGUGCUAAAACCGCAUAAGCGCACAGCUUCGCAUGAAGCGGUGUGAAAAACUCCGGUGGUGUAAGAUGGACCCGCGUCUGAUUAGCUUGUUGGCGGGGUAACGGCCCACCAAGGCGACGAUCAGUAGCCGGCCUGAGAGGGCGGACGGCCACAUUGGGACUGAGACACGGCCCAGACUCCUACGGGAGGCAGCAG